AAGCCCAUGGGAGGCCAGCAUGGCUGGAAAAAUGAGGCCCAGAAUUCCUAGCUGCAUAGAGCGCUUGCCCACCAAGGCCUGCGUCUCCCCUCGCGUGCCCCAGCUGGCUUGGAGGCAGUUCGUUCUGAUUUACACCAGUGCCAAGACUAGCUAGCAGGCAAAGGGCCAGAUAGCAGAUGCUUUGGAAGCCACCUGGAGGGAAGGGCAGGCGGGGGUGCACGGCCAGAGGACAGGGUCACGCCGGGCAGCACCGCGGGAGGCCUUCGUCCUGCAAGGGACAGACUGAGGAUGAGGAUGGGCUGAAGACGCUGACGUGCCAGGAUCCCUGUGAGCAGAUGUGACGAGGACUCGACGGGGGGAUCUGCGGGGGCACAGGGCUCCCGAGGGGCAGCAGCUCCGCACUAGGCCCCUGCCCAGGGAGCCCCCCUCCCCAGGGGCUGGUGCUGCCGGACCCGCGGCUGGGGGCGUCCAGGCACUUACGCUGGAUGUGCUCUUCUCCGCCCCAGCCGAAGAGACGCUCCACCGCUUCUCUCUCUGGGGGGAAGCACAGGAAAGGCAGCUGGCGUCGGACACUAAGGCACA